GUCCGGCUGUGACGCUUUUAACAAACACGGAAGUGAAGAUCGUCAGCGUGACGGAGACCCAGAAAGUCAGGGGAUAGUGACGUUAAUCCUCUAAUUUACACCGGUUUUUCUUUCUGUUUGGGGUUUUUUUUUCCUAUGUGGAAGUUUUAGGGUUUGUUUAUAUAAUUGGAGCAGGGGAAGUGCUGAAAUGGCGUUUGUAAACCUGUUUACGAGUCUUAGCAGCCCUAAAGAAGACAGUGGGCGCCACGCGCAGCCCGCCUUCACACACCGGAAUUUCACUGAUUAUAGUCCCAGAGGUGGAUUCAGGAAGAGGAAAACCAACAAAGGGCAACCUGGGUCUCCUUGGAAGAGGCCAUGUAACAGAGAGCAGACAAACACGGCUCACGAUGCCUCCAUGGACAGGAACUCACAUCAUCCACACGGUGCUGAUCGUGGCAACAACUGCUACCACGGUCAAAAUCCACAGAGGACAAAUGGCUCGAACGGGAACAAGCAACAUCAACAACAACAACAAGGAAAUAAAAACAACAAUAAGAAAAACAACUAUCGGGAGGAUGUCACAAACAGAGGAUGGCACAGCAGGCGUGGAGGCAGAAAAGGUGCCCCAGGACGUAAAUACGGCGGGCAGGAUGUUCGUACAAAGACUAUGAGAAUGGACCCAAAGUUCAAGGAGCAGAAUGUGGUAGAGCUGGAUGGACGCAUGCUGUGUCGGCAUUUCUUUUUAGGAGCUUGCAUCAAGGGAGACCAGUGCCAACUGGAGCACAUUCAAGGCUACAAUGGCCUCAUCAAGGAAUGCUGCAAGUUCUACGUGCAGGGCCAAUGCAGCCGAGGCCAGAGCUGUCCGUUUAUGCACAAUAUCCUUCAUCAUGACCUUAUAGC
rnacentral:lncRNA from 1 species